rnacentral:rRNA from 1 species
GAUGAACGCUGGCGGCGUGCCUAAUACAUGCAAGUCGAGCGAACGGACGAGAAGCUUGCUUCUCUGAUGUUAGCGGCGGACGGGUGAGUAACACGUGGAUAACCUACCUAUAAGACUGGGAUAACUUCGGGAAACCGGAGCUAAUACCGGAUAAUAUUUUGAACCGCAUGGUUCAAAAGUGAAAGACGGUCUUGCUGUCACUUAUAGAUGGAUCCGCGCUGCAUUAGCUAGUUGGUAAGGUAACGGCUUACCAAGGCAACGAUGCAUAGCCGACCUGAGAGGAUGAUCGGCCACACUGGAACUGAGACACGGUCCAGACUCCUACGGGAGGCAGCAGUAGGGAAUCUUCCGCAAUGGGCGAAAGCCUGACGGAGCAACGCCGCGUGAGUGAUGAAGGUCUUCGGAUCGUAAAACUCUGUUAUUAGGGAAGAACAUAUGUGUAAGUAACUGUGCACGUCUUGACGGUACCUAAUCAGAAAGCCACGGCUAACUACGUG